rnacentral:lncRNA from 10 species
AAGACCUAAUUAGAGGUAAUUUUUCUAAGUUUUUGUAAAUUAUUGAGGACUACAAAUCUUAAUUAGCUUCUCAGUAGGUUGUAAUUUUUUUUUUUUUUUUGAGAUGGAGUCUCGCUGUUGCCCAGGCUGGUCUUGAACUCCUGACCUCAGGUGAUCCACCCACCUUAGCCUCCCAAAGUGCUGGGAUUACAGGCCACUGUGCCCAGCCUCAGGGGAGUUGUAAUCUCCAUUUCAGUCAUAUCAAUUUAAACUUCACAAAGCUAAGAUUACUUUUCCUUUUCACAUCUGAGGAAAACUACAUCUC